rnacentral:rRNA from 1 species
AUGAACAACCUGCGACAAGCCGCCGUCCCGGCCGUUCAUCCCGUCUCUUGGGUCAUGGGCGCCCGACGAGAAAACAUGGGGCUCAAGUGCGCGGAUCCCUACGAGCCUGAUGUCGACGCCGACCUCCGGGCCAAGGAGAGGAACCCCAGGGAGCACCCCGACGCCGACUACAUGUCCAAGAUGCAGCAGGGCCACCUGAGCCCGUCCAUGCGCGCCGAGCUCGUGCUCUGGAUGGACGCGUUCGCCCGGAACCUCGGUGGCCUCCCGGAGGGCAUGCUCUGCCGCGCCGUCGCCUACCUCGACCGCGUCCUGUCCGUGCGCCCCGUUCCGGCCCACGACGAGGCGCUCCAACUCGUGGCCGCCGCCGCCGUCUCCCUCGGCGCCAAGCACGAGCAGUCCUCCAGCGGGCGGAGGCUCGACGCCCAACUCGUCGAGGCGUUCCUGGGGACCACCGUGCACAUGGUGGAGGAGAUGGAGUGGGAGCUCUUCAUGGAUCUCGGCUGCGCCAUGGACGGCCCGACCGCGUACACCUUCGUCGACCACUUCACGAGGUUCUUCCAGUGGGAGGAUGAGCUCUUGGUGAGGUCCCUGGCGCUUCGGCUGGUCAACCUGACGUUGCCAUUUUUCGGGUUCGUUGGACGGAUCCUGCCGUCGGCCAUGGCUGCAUCGGCGCUGUUCCUCGCCAGGCAGAUCCUCGGCGUGCCGUUGAGCCACGAUCUGGAGGAGGUGAUGGGGUACAAGGCGGUGGAGUUGACGGGUUGCAUAUGCGCCUUAGAGAAGCUGCUUCCCAAGAAAAAUCUCUAA